rnacentral:rRNA from 1 species
AUUGAACGCUGGCGGCAGGCCUAACACAUGCAAGUCGAACGGUAACAGGAAGAAGCUUGCUUCUUUGCUGACGAGUGGCGGACGGGUGAGUAAUGUCUGGGAAACUGCCUGGUGGAGGGGGAUAACUACUGGAAACGGUAGCUAAUACCGCAUAACGUCGCAAGACCAAAGAGGGGGACCUUCGGGCCUCUUGCCAUCGGAUGUGCCCAGAUGGGAUUAGCUUGUUGGUGGGGUAACGGCUCACCAAGGCGACGAUCCCUAGCUGGUCUGAGAGGAUGACCAGCCACACUGGAACUGAGACACGGUCCAGACUCCUACGGGAGGCAGCAGUGGGGAAUAUUGCACAAUGGGCGCAAGCCUGAUGCAGCCAUGCCGCGUGUAUGAAGAAGGCCUUCGGGUUGUAAAGUACUUUCAGCGGGGAGGAAGGGAGUAAAGUUAAUACCUUUGCUCAUUGACGUUACCCGCAGAAGAAGCACCGGCUAACUCCGUG